AGCUCAAAUUUGAAAGCUGGCCCCCUCGGGGUCCGCAUUGUAAUUUGCAGAGGAUGCUUCGGGAACGGCCCCCAUCUAAGUGCCCUGGAACGGGCCGUCAUAGAGGGUGAGAAUCCCGUCUGGGAUGGGGUGGCCGCGCCCGUGUGAAGCUCCUUCGACGAGUCGAGUUGUUUGGGAAUGCAGCUCUAAUUGGGUGGUAAAUUUCAUCUAAAGCUAAAUAUUGGCCGGAGACCGAUAGCGCACAAGUAGAGUGAUCGAAAGAUGAAAAGCACUUUGAAAAGAGAGUUAAACAGCACGUGAAAUUGUUGAAAGGGAAGCGCUUGCGACCAGACUCGCCCGCGGGGUUCAGCCGGCACUCGUGCCGGUGUACUUCCCCGCGGGCGGGCCAGCGUCGGUUUGGGCGGCCGGUCAAAGGCCUCUGGAAGGUAACGCCUCUCGGGGCGUCUUAUAGCCAGGGGUGCCAUGCGGCCUGCCCGGACCGAGGAACGCGCUUCGGCUCGGACGCUGGCAUAAUGGUCGUAAGCGACCCGUCUUGAAACACGGACCAAGGAGUCUAACAUCUACGCGAGUGUUCGGGUGUCAAACCCGUGCGCGCAGUGAAAGCGAACGGAGGUGGGAACCCCCCGGGGUGCACCAUCGACCGAUCCUGAUGUCUUCGGAUGGAUUUGAGUAAGAGCGUAGCUGUUGGGACCCGAAAGAU
rnacentral:rRNA from 1 species